AUCUAUGACCAUGCCACCCUGAACAAGCCCAAUUCUGUCCGAUCUUGGAAGCUAAGCAGGGUAAGGCCUGGUUAGUACUUGGAUAGGAGACCACCUAGAAAGACCAGGUGCUGUAGGCG
rnacentral:rRNA from 1 species